UGAACGCUGGCGGCGUGCCUAAUACAUGCAAGUCGAGCGAACGGACGCGAAGCUUGCUUCUCUGAUGUUAGCGGCGGACGGGUGAGUAACACGUGGAUAACCUACCUAUAAGACUGGGAUAACUUCGGGAAACCGGAGCUAAUACCGGAUAAUAUUUUGAACCGCAUGGUUCAAAAGUGAAAGACGGUCUUGCUGUCACUUAUAGAUGGAUCCGCGCUGCAUUGGCUAGUUGGUAAGGUAACGGCUUACCAAGGCAACGAUGCAUAGCCGACCUGAGAGGGUGAUCGGCCACACUGGAACUGAGACACGGUCCAGACUCCUACGGGAGGCAGCAGUAGGGAAUCUUCCGCAAUGGGCGAAAGCCUGACGGAGCAACGCCGCGUGAGUGAUGAAGGUCUUCGGAUCGUAAAACUCUGUUAUUAGGGAAGAACAUAUGUGUAAGUAACUGUGCACAUCUUGACGGUACCUAAUCAGAAAGCCACGGCUAACUACGUG
rnacentral:rRNA from 1 species